rnacentral:sRNA from 1 species
AUUGGUAUGCUAUACUAUGUCUUGUAGUUUAAGUAAGGUAAUUUUGGUUCGAUCGUUUCAUUGUUUGGAAUAUCCCCAAUUUGCACCGGAACAUGAAUUACAAAAAAACGUACGUGCAAUUGCACAGGAGGAUUUUCAACAUGGAACAAGGAACAGUAAAAUGGUUUAACGCAGAUAAAGGUUUUGGUUUUAUUACUCGCGAAGAUGGCAAUGAUGUAUUCGUACAUUUCUCAGCUAUCCAAGGUGACGGAUUCAAGACUCUUGAUGAAGGCCAAGCAGUAACUUUCGACGUAGAAGAAAGCGACCGUGGACCACAAGCAGUUAACGUAAACAAGGCUUAAUUUUAAUUAAUCCUUAACUCCCAAAGCCGUCCGGCUUUGGGAGUUUU